rnacentral:rRNA from 1 species
GUAGGGAAUAUUGGACAAUGGGCGGAAGCCUGAUCCAGCCAUGCCGCGUGGAGGAUGACUGCCCUCUGGGUUGUAAACUCCUUUUGUACAGGAAGAAACCUCCUCAUUUAUGAGUGAGCUGACGGUACUGUAAGAAUAAGCACCGGCUAACUCCGUGCCAGCAGCCGCGGUAAUACGGAGGGUGCAAGCGUUAUCCGGAUUCACUGGGUUUAAAGGGUGCGUAGGCGGUUUUAUAAGUCAGUGGUGAAAUCAACGGGCUCAACCUGUUAACUGGCAUUUGAUACUGUAGGACUUGAAUAUGAGAGAGGUAGGCGGAAUGUUGCAUGUAGCGGUGAAAUGCUUAGAUAUGCUACGGAACACCGAUUGCGAAGGCAGCUUACUAUUUCAUGAUUGACGCUGAGGCACGAAAGCGUGGGUAGCGAACAGGAUUAGAAACCCCGGUAGUCC